GAAGAGUUGAGUGAAGCCUGCAGAGAGGCCUCCUGGGAACAGAACAGUGCAUGGAGUCUCUCCACCCAGUCAUUCACUUCCUCCUCUACAUGCUCGCCUACUCCUGCGUCUACUCCUGUCUGUAUUUGUUGGUUUAUUUUAUUAGCAUCUUUACAGAGGAUUAGGCAACCCGCUGGACACAAGCCUCUUUGGGUACAGAAAACCCUACCCACUGCCCAUGUCCUUCGCACCGAUGGAUAGGCCAGCGCGCUUCACUGGCCGCUUCAGAGGCGUGAGGACGUCUGCAGUCUCUCAUCUUCCUUUAGUCGAGCUCUUCCCAACGUUGCUGAUUAGAACCCAGUGCUCUCCGGGAAGCACAGAAAUUGGAUCAAUCUGUAAAGCCAAAC
ensembl:lincRNA 1700047F07Rik RIKEN cDNA 1700047F07 gene